rnacentral:hammerhead_ribozyme from 1 species
AUCCAGCUGACGAUUCCCAAACAGCACGAAACGCGCGUUGUGGAU